rnacentral:rRNA from 1 species
AUACAGAGGGUGCGAGCGUUAAUCGGAAUUACUGGGCGUAAAGCGCGCGUAGGCGGCUUAUUAAGUCAGAUGUGAAAUCCCCGGGCUCAACCUGGGAACUGCAUCUGAUACUGGUAAGCUAGAGUUUUGGAGAGGGAAGUAGAAUUUCAGGUGUAGCGGUGAAAUGCAUAGAGAUCUGAAGGAAUACCAGUGGCGAAGGCGACUUCCUGGCCAAAAACGGAUGCUGAGGUGCGAAAGCGUGGGUAGCAAACGGGAUUAGAAACCCGGGUAGUCC